GCUUGUCACCCAGGACACCGCGGUGGAAAAACAGGCGUCUCUUCCCGAGUGGGCUGCUGGAAAGGGUGUUUGGCUGGUGGAUGUGCGCUGUGCUGAUUACUCAGCCCCCAGUUAGCAGCGUGGCCCUUGCAUGUGAAUGCAUGUGCUUCCCGAGCAUGGUUUUGCGUGAGCAUCUGCCGCCGGGCUGGUGCUGCUGCCUCGCUGUGGGAGGAGCAGGCGGGUACCCUGAACUUGCAGCUGAGGGCGGAAACGCUUUGGGGUUGAUGCUUGAGGCUUUUGUAGAGUUGCAGCAUCUGAGCUGGGUGCUCUCUGCUGGAGUGAUGCAGGCGUAUAAAGGUAGAUCUGUGUCUUCCCCCAAGGCUCAGUCUGGGACAGCCCCAGCAGUUUUUGGCUGCCACAUGGAAGAUCACGCUAAGCACGUCCAGUCCAUCCCGCUCCCGGCCAUGCAGCAGAACUUGAACUACGUGUAUCCUCAGAUCUUUUGGGUGGAUGGCUGUCCCAGUGCAAAUACUUCCUGCCCUCCAGCACCCCCCGUCGCUCCUUUCCCACCACCAGUACCCGACCGGAGCAGAAAGCCAAGGAACAACAGGGAAAGGAGGAGCACUGGCUUUCUGGUGAUCUCCUUGCUGCUCCUGCUGGCCCUCACUGGAGUGGGGCUGAGCAUGUUUCAGAUAUUCCACCUGGAGAAGGAACUGGCUGAACUCAGAGAGUCUGCCAGCAGUGAGCACAUCCCUCCAGCUUUGGAAAAACUCAUAGGGCAGAAGGAGCAGUCAAUGAAAAAUGAAGCAAGGAAGGCAGCACACUUAACAGGAAACCCGGACCAGCGAGACCUCCCUCUGGAUUGGGAACCCGUCUCUGGCCAUGCCUUCACCAACGGCAUUCAGUACCGUGAUCAGGGCCUCAUCAUCAAUGAGACCGGUCUGUACUUUGUAUAUUCCAACGUGCUCUUCCGAGGCAGUGUCUGCACCAGCCAGGUGUUGACCCACAGCGUCUACAAGAAAAACCCAGCCUUGCUUGGUAGCCAUGUGCUGAUGGAGGACAAGGGCAUCAACUACUGUACAGGUCAGAAAACAUGGGCCCGGAAAAGCUACCUGGGGGCUUUAUUCAAGCUCAGGAAGAUGGACAGUUUGCAUGUCAAUGUCUCCAAAAUCUCUCUGAUUAAUUUUGAGGAAUCCAAGACAUUCUUUGGCUUAUUUAAGCUUUGAAUGAGGCUGUUGGAGCAUGGCCAGCAGCCCAUGACACACACUCAAAUAUACAUGAGUGGUGAGUGCUGCCUGAGUGGCAGUGGCAAAGCCAGGAUCUUGCCCCACGAAGUUCUCCAGGAAACCAUGUUUUGGUCUUCAGCAUGAGAAGCCUCAAGCAACUGGUAAAGGUUUGGAAGUAGACCUCUCAGAAGCACCAGGGCUGUACUACACCAACCUGAAGAGAAUCACGCAUUUUCCCCUCUGGAAAAAAAAAGCAACCCAACAACAAACUCAAAAUGUAUGUCCUGAAGACACCAUUGAAACUAGUUACUUGCUACCUGAGAAGAUGCUGGUGCCAGCAGCCCCACAUGGUGCCAUGGCCUUGGUGAGCUUGAGCAGCAGGCAGGCAGCGUGGAGGCCCCUAAAGCUUUGUCUGCAGGUGCCUGGGCUGUGCCAUGCCAUGGCACACCGCAGGUGGUGGUGUGAGAACAAGUAGUGCAGAGGUCUCUCUACCCAUCUCAAGCUAUGACUAAGCACCCUGCCUGGGCACUCAGCACUGUGACUGAUGUACAACAGGCACCUGCCUGCUAGCCGGCUACUUUGGUGCCAUAAGUACAUUUUGUGUUGUCGACUGUGCCCAUCUCAGAAAAUGUUCCCCAACCCCUUUAUUUAACUCGUGCCCACUGCCUUGCAAGGAAUGUGCCAGAAGCAGCAGGGCCAUGAGGGGGAUCCCAACCCUGGAGAGAAAAUAUGACUGUGCUGUGUUGAAGGGGCUGGUGGGGAGGCCACAUGCUCCACUGACAGAACCUAAACAACAUAGUGGUGGAGAGCGAUGGGGCCCAAGAUGAAAGCAGCAUCUCCAGCCCCCUUUCUGUCUUUUCAAAGCAUCAGGGUCCCCCAUGGGAAACUGGUUCUGUCACCCUCUGUAUGAUGCAGGUGGGGUGGCAUGCUGGCCACCAUAAACAGUAUGGCUAUGGCUGGCCCCCUUAUCAGGGGAUAUUCUCUCCUGAAUAAAACACAUCUGGUAAAUAAAGGUAUAUUUUUCUAGUAAAUGCUCCAUUCCCUGUACAUGAGCGAAGCCCUGACAUAGGAGAUGUGGGA